UACGUAGGGGCAAGCGUUGUCCGGAAUCAUUGGGCGUAAAGAGCGCGUAGGCGGUCCGGUAAGUCCGCUCUGAAAGCCCGGGGCUCAACCCCGGGAGGCGGGUGGAUACUGUCAAGCUCGAGUCCGGAAGAGGCGAGUGGAAUUCCUGGUGUAGCGGUGAAAUGCGCAGAUAUCAGGAGGAACACCAAUGGCGAAGGCAGCUCGCUGGGACGUGACUGACGCUGAGACGCGAAAGCGUGGGAGCAAACAGG
rnacentral:rRNA from 1 species